rnacentral:lncRNA from 1 species
CCGGGCGCGCGGCCGGCCUGCGGCGCGCUCCACAACGCGGAACGGGCCUCAGAAGAGCCACCGCGCGCGCUCCCGCUAAUUCGCGACCACACCCCUGUCUACUUCCAUGUCCAAUAGGUGCGAGAGGGCGGGACGGCCUCGUUCUGACUCCGGGAGGCUAUAUAAGGAGCUACUGGCUGCGCACUUCGGUCUUUUACGUCGGCCUUCGCGAGCGUCUGGGCGGGUGGUAGGAACAAUGGCGCUGUCUUCAGUGGCACAGUGGAGCAGCUCUGAAGAUGCAAAGAUACACGAAAAAACUUCCAGAACAUCUGGGAGAAUAUUUAAUGGAAAAUCGCUUGGUUAAAACCUGACACUUUUAACAGUGAACAGCGUUCUGAGUGUGGACGAGUAGCCAGUGAAGAUAAUGAAUGUCGAAUGUGACUGACUAGCAGCUUCAUUUUGAAUGAGGGUCGCUGUCUGCCCAUUGAUAGAGGCCAGAUUGUCUUGGAAGUUCCAAAGUUGCAACGAUUUCUGGCUAGUGCCACGAGGUUUACUUGACUGUUGUGUGAAAAGCUGAUAAGAAAACCAUCCAGAAAAAAGCUCUUCGUUUUACAAACAUGAAAAUAAAACAUUUAGUUGAAUCCAUGGACAUGAAACCCACAGAUAUAGAGGGUUGGCCCGGUGCAGUGGCUCACGCCUGUAAUCCCAGCACUUUGGGAGGCCAAGGCGGGUGGAUCACCUGAGGUCAGAAGCUUGAGACCAGCCUGGCCAACAUGGGUACUGCUUUCUCUUGCUGCAGCUUGCUUCCUCCCUCAGGUAUGAAGUUAAGGUAACAUGAAGGAGGAUAUUGAAUGUUCCUAACACAAAGAAAUGAUAAAUGUUUGAGAUGGUGGAUGUACUAAUUGCCCUGAUCUGAUGACUAUACAUUAUAUAUAUUGAAACAUCAGUAUGUACCCCAUGAAUAUGUACAAUUAUAUGUCAACUUAAACACAUUUAAAAGUAAAAAAAAAAAAAUCCAAAACACGCAAGGAACUGAGCCAGCACGAAUAAGAAUUAGCAAAAUCUUCAAACCUCAAGACCAGACUCACAAGGACUUCAGAUACAGAAAUUUUAAAUAAAAAUUAUAAAAUGAGUAUGUUAAAAUGUUUAAAGAAAUAAAGGAAGGCAUUGGUAUAUGAUACAGAAAUAAAAGACCAUCAAAAAUAAUUUGGAUGACAUGAAAACAAUCAAAUAGACAUUCUGGAAAUAAAACAUAUAUAAUGGACAGGAGUGAAUGUCCCUAGGCUCCUGACCUCUCUGCAUUUGCAAGUAGUCUGAGCCAGAAAACGCUGAAAGACCUCAGAAGCCAAGUGGAAGCCCCACAGUGAAGCCAGGAGGGCCUUCAUUUCAGACUCAGCAGCUGCCCACGGUGGUGGCUGACACACUGCUGUAGCAUGUGUGCUGCCUGAACACUCACUGGCCACCCCCACAGCCCAGAGCACUGGCAUCAUCUGUACUAUCGGCCUAGUUUCCUGAUUGGUGGAAAUGUUGAUGAUUAAGUCUGGAAUUAAUAUGGCUUGUCUGAACUUACGAGUACCACGCAGAGACCAUCAGGAAUGUGUGCACAACUAUGGAAAGCCUUGCUUCUGACCCCAAUCUCUAGCGGCUAGUUGCUGUGGCUCUGGACACUAACGGGCCUGAGAUCUGAACUGGGCUCACACAGAGCAGUGUCCCCAUGGAGGUGGAGCUGAAGAAGGGAGCCACCUUCAGAUCACACUGGAUAAUGCCUACAUGGAAAACUUAUGAUGAGAACUUCCUGUAGCUGGACUACAAGAACAUUUGUAAGGUAGUGGAAAGGGGCAGCAAGAUCUAUAGAUUUAAUAACUUAUUUCUCUGCAGUUGGAGCAGAAAGGUACUGACCUCCUGGUGAUAGCAAUGGAAAAUUAUGGCUCCUUGGGCAGCAAAAAGGGUGUAGACCUUCCUGGUGACUGUGGACCUGCUUGCCAUGUCAGAAAAGGACAUCCAGGAUCUGAAGUUUGGGGUAGAAUGGGAUGUGGAUAUGGUGUUUGCCUCUUUCAUCCAUGUGGCAUCUAAUGUCCAUGAAAUUAGAAAGGCAAUUAUUGCAAACUGGAGCAAGGUGCCCACUUGCCCACCAGAGUUAGGCUCUUACCUUCCCAGAGGAACUGAGACCCACAGCUAUUUUUAUAUAUCUUACAGUUCAGAUCAGAUACAAAUAUGUAAACCUCUACAUUAUUUCUAUGUAGAAAUUAUGAUACUCUUUAAGCCUGUCACAGAUUUUGUUAUUUAAUGCAAAGAAGCACAUAUAUUACUAUGGGACACUUUUGGUUUGUUUAAAUAUUUUGAUAGUUGUAUUUUAAUGUAAAGGGUUUCAUUUGUAAUCUUAUACAGAUGGUCCCCAACUUACAAUGGUUCAACUUAUGAUUUUUCAUCUUUACAACGGCAUGAAAGCAAUACAUUUUCAGUAGAAACUGUAGGUCAAAUACUCAUACAACCAUUCUGUUUUUCACUUUACUGCAGUAUUUAAUAAACAUAUGAGAUAUUCAAGAUUUUA